UCAAGUUUUCUCACAUGUAAAAUCCUGGCUUAAAACGACCCAAGUAAAAUAAUGACUCACUAAUCUUCUUCACAGCCCAAACUGCAACUAAACUAAACUCAAGAUGCGAUGCGAUGCGGUGCGACGUGUGUAUGGAAUCCCAAGUGUCGAUUGCUUUAAGAGUUGUUUUGACUUUGGUGAGCAAAUCUUACGAGGAAUUCUAUAUCAUAAACAAUUCUUAAGGCCAAGAAGAUCUUAAAAUCUCACCCACAACUGGGCAUGCACGGUCGGGAUGGAUGGGUGCAUGCCUAUUUUGAGACAACAAAAUAAAUGGUUACGAGUUACGAAGAAAAACUCUGGUGAAGUUGAGAAUUCUUGAUGAUUUUGUGGAAAUUCGAGUACGACCUAAAAGUCUUGAUGUGAGGAAAAAUUCGGCAAUUAUGGACCGAGAUCAAUAGUAUAAUUGGUGCUUUUGUUGAUAAGUGGGUAGUAAUUAGAGGCACGGCAUUACUCAAAAACUGAAAUUUUUCAACAGUGCUAAAAACCAGGACAGGUUUGUGGUGGGUAAAUGUUUGCCCACAUUAUGCAAAUAUCCAGCACAGCAUAUCAACAACAUCAUUUUUCUAAUGGUAACAACUUGCUUGGAAAAAUAUUAAUUUUUAUGUUGAAGACAAUGCAAAAAAUAAAGUUUUGUGCAAAUUAUAUUUGCAAAGCCAUCA